rnacentral:lncRNA from 1 species
UGUGAACGUACUUUAUUUAGAUGUGUGAAGGUGUGAAAAAGUGGAGUUAAACCUAUCGUUAACUGAUAAAAAGCUGGAGGUAUGUUUAGAGUGUCAAUUCGUCAUGUGGUUUUUCUGCUUUAAAAGACCUUGUCUCAGCCUAUCUGUCCACUAUUCCCUGAUGUUUUUUAGCUAGCAUUUGUUAGCUAGCUUAUCAGUUCGUUUUUUCCUUCGAUCUUCUAAAACAGACCAACGGUGCAUUUUUGUUUUUAACUCCUUUGGGGGAAAGCAAGAGGAAAACAUCUUACAGCCAUGUCUACAAAGGAAAUCUCAGGUACCCUUCCCGCUCAAACCUUCAUGCUCGACCGUUGCUUGUGAUGAGGCAGCGUCUACGGGGGUAACCGAGGGCCCUAAUUAUGCUAUAGAGACGCUAAAUGCGGUAGCAGUGUUGCAGAGAGUGCAUCCUGUGGCAGAGGAGUCAUUCACACCUUCAUUGGAGGCGUUAGAUUUCCCAGAGAGGCACGGUGAUGAGCAGCGACAAGCCGGUGGAGUUUUACAACGGGGGGACGUGGCAGAUUUCCUGGAUGAAGGUAGCCCUUGAAGGUGAAAGCAAAGAAUCAUCAGAGACAGACCACACAUCGAUUUCCCCUAAUCAGGAACCCUUCCAGUGUCGUGGGGAUGAAGGUGAUAUAGAAUGUGCAUGUAUGCGUUUUAUUCCAGACACACCCAUCAGCCAGAGACCAGGAGUUUCCUAUAAUCACACAGUCUAUGGAGCAGACAAAGUGUGCCCCAGGGCUCAUGCAUCAGCUGACGCCUCUGUAAAUACAGAGGAUAUUGAUGAGGCAUUUGAAUGUGGACAAAUAUUGGAUUGUUUUAGUACCAACAUCAGUUUUGAAACAGCUGGCCCCAUAAACCGUCCUGAGCAGACAACAUUAUUACAGGGUGAGUCACUCUUCGAAUUCUGUGCUGAAACUACACGUCGACACACUGCGUCAGAUGCGAUACAUGACCAAAUAGAAUCCAAAGUUGAUAAUUUACAAAAAAACAUCAAUAGUCUGGUGAAUACAGUGGGCGCCUUGCAGACCACUACUACAAAGUUGUUUGGCCUAGUUACAUAG